CCUACGGGAGGCAGCAGUGGGGAAUCUUGCGCAAUGGGCGAAAGCCUGACGCAGCCAUGCCGCGUGAAUGAUGAAGGUCUUAGGAUUGUAAAAUUCUUUUCACCGGGGACGAUAAUGACGGUACCCGGAGAAGAAGCCCCGGCUAACUUCGUGCCAGCAGCCGCGGUAAUACGAAGGGGGCUAGGCGUUGCGUCGGAAUUACUGGGCGUAAAGGGAGCGUAGGCGGAUAGUUUAGUCAGAGGUGAAAGCCCAGGGCUCAACCUUGGAAUUGCCUUUGAUACUGGCUAUCUUGAGUGUGGGAGAGGUAUGUGGAACUCCGAGUGUAGAGGUGAAAUUCGUAGAUAUUCGGAAGAACACCAGUGGCGAAGGCGACAUACUGGCCCAUUACUGACGCUGAGGCUCGAAAGCGUGGGGAGCAAACAGGAUUAGAUACCCUGGUAGUCCACGCUGUAAACGAUGAGUGCUAGUUGUCGGCAGGCAUGCCUGUCGGUGACGCAGCUAACGCAUUAAGCACUCCGCCUGGGGAGUACGGUCGCAAGAUUAAAACUCAAAAUGAAUUGACGG
rnacentral:rRNA from 1 species